UGUUAAUUCCGCCUCGCGAAAACAUCCAAAACAAAACACUCAAAACGAAAAUAAAAUAUUCACCACCACCUGGUUUGCCAACAUCGUCUUUACAAGGAAUGUCCAGCAGUGCAUGACAGAGGCCGGUCACUCCCAUUAAGUCCAGCUGAAGAGCCUUCCCAGUUCAUAGGACAAAAUGCAGUUACACAGAUUUUAACGGUGUUGGAAACAAUGAGAGACGAGAACAGGGAAAUGAAGCGGAUGCUGCAUCGGCUCUUGGCUAGGUCAGCUACUGAUGACGAGCCAAUGCAACUGCCAUCAGUCUUCCGAUUGGAACAUUUGAGCAAAUAGAUGAGUUUGAAGAGCAUCUUGGUGAUGAAGCUACGAUCCAUCUUUUCUAGGACUGCUGCAUAGUUCAAGCUUUUUUAUCAAAUAUAUUAAGCAAUGUUGUAAAUGUAAUUGACAGUUCUUUCUCCAUUGAUCCUAAACCAUUCCUUUAAGGAUCAUUUUCUAAGAAAGCAUACAUUCUUUUUUAUCUGGAAAUGAAAUGGUAUAUAUUCCUUUGCAAAAGAAGAAACAGCAUUCCAGUUUUUGAAGGUUUUAAAAGACAUAUAUAUAUAUAUAUAUAUAUAUAUAUAUAUCAUGUGCAAUUACGAAAAACACUAGAAUGUAUGAAGAUAUCAAAGAUAAUAAUAUGGACUUGUUCUCGAAAUAGGAUUUGCCAUUUAUUUGAGUUUUUGGAUUUUUCUGCAGGGUUUUUAAUUUCUAGUUUAUAAAAUAUUUUGUUUAGUCUUGCAAGUAUGUUUUCUACAAAUGUUCUUUGAGUACAUGGUGUGUUAUUUGUAUUGGUUAAAGAUUUAAUAUGCAUGCUGGGUAUGCUUUUGAGUAAUGUGUAGUACAUCAGGAAAAUAAUUGAAGGUAUUCUGUAUAUGUAAUAUAUAUUUUAUAUCAAAAUAAUAGGAGUCCUUAAUUCUAUAGUUGUAUAGCUGGUCAACAUAUAUAAUGUUAUAGAAAAACGUCGUAUUGUUUGAAGUUAUGUCAUUAUUGUUCCAUAAAAUAGUUAAACUGUUGGUUUGGGUUUAUAGAUUAUGAGUAACAUUACUCCAUGCAGAUAGAACAUUAGAUAGAAACAUGUUUUCGUUAGCAACUUCUUGUAAAAUAUUUUUGCUGAUGUUACAUUCAAAAAGUUAGGAAUCACCAUAUUAUUUUAGAAUUCUCUGGUAGAAUAGUUAACGUGGGAUCCUCCUGCUAUUUAUGUAUGUAUCCAUGUAUAUGUGUGUAAUACUUUAUGUGAAUAAAAGUUGAGAGUACUUUAAUAAAUUUUUAAGUCUUUUAACAAAAACCUUGUAUUUCUUGCAGGAUAAUGCUAUUUAGCUCUUGAACCCUUUGAUAUCGCUUUGUUCCAGC